CCUACGGGAGGCAGCAGUGGGGAAUACUGCACAAUGGGCGCAAGCCUGAUGCAGCCAUGCCGCGUGUGUGAAGAAGGCCUUCGGGUUGUAAAGCACUUUCAGCGGGGAGGAAGGCGUUAAGGUUAAUAACCUUGUCGAUUGACGUUACCCGCAGAAGAAGCACCGGCUAACUCCGUGCCAGCAGCCGCGGUAAUACGGAGGGUGCAAGCGUUAAUCGGAAUUACUGGGCGUAAAGCGCACGCAGGCGGUCUGUCAAGUCGGAUGUGAAAUCCCCGGGCUCAACCUGGGAACUGCAUUCGAAACUGGCAGGCUAGAGUCUUGUAGAGGGGGGUAGAAUUCCAGGUGUAGCGGUGAAAUGCGUAGAGAUCUGGAGGAAUACCGGUGGCGAAGGCGGCCCCCUGGACAAAGACUGACGCUCAGGUGCGAAAGCGUGGGGAGCAAACAGGAUUAGAUACCCGAGUAGUC
rnacentral:rRNA from 1 species